GACGAACGCUGGCGGCGCGCUUAACACAUGCAAGUCGAACGGAAAGGCCUGCUUUCCCUUGUGGAUUGCGGGUACUCGAGUGGCGAACGGGUGAGUAACACGUGAGUGAUCUGCCCCCAACUUGGGUAUAAGCCUGGGAAACUGGGUCUAAUUCCCGAUAGGACUGCAGGGUGGUGCCUGUGGUGGAAAACGAUUUUCUAGUGGUUGGGGAUGAGCUCGCGGCCUAUCAGCUUGUUGGUGGGGUAAUGGCCUACCAAGGCGGCGACGGGUAGCCGGCCUGGGAGGGUGGACGGCCACAUUGGGACUGAGAUACGGCCCAGACUCCUACGGGAGGCAGCAGUGGGGAAUAUUGCACAAUGGGCGGAAGCCUGAUGCAGCGACGCCGCGUGGGGGAUGACGGCCUUCGGGUUGUAAACUCCUUUCGACCGCGAGGAAGCCACCUGGUUGGAAGGGUGGUGACGGUAGUGGUAGAAGAAGCACCGGCGAACUACGU
rnacentral:rRNA from 1 species